rnacentral:rRNA from 1 species
CCUACGGGAGGCAGCAGUAGGGAAUCUUCCACAAUGGACGAAAGUCUGAUGGAGCAACGCCGCGUGAGCGAUGAAGGCCUUCGGGUCGUACAGCUCUGUUGUUAGGGAAGAACAAGUACCGGAGUAACUGCCGGUACCUUGACGGUACCUAACCAGAAAGCCACGGCUAACUACGUGCCAGCAGCCGCGGGUAAUACGUAGGUGGGCAAGCGUUGUCCGGAAUUAUUGGGCGUAAAGCGCGCGCAGGCGGUCCUUUAAGUCUGAUGUGAAAGCCCACGGCUCAACCGUGGAGGGUCAUUGGAAACUGGGGGACUUGAGUGCAGAAGAGGAAAGCGGAAUUCCACGUGUAGCGGUGAAAUGCGUAGAGAUGUGGAGGAACACCAGUGGCGAAGGCGGCUUUCUGGUCUGUAACUGACGCUGAGGCGCGAAAGCGUGGGGAGCAAACAGGAUUAGAUACCCUGGUAGUCCACGCCGUAAACGAUGAGUGCUAAGUGUUAGAGGGUUUCCGCCCUUUAGUGCUGCAGCUAACGCAUUAAGCACUCCGCCUGGGGAGUACGGCCGCAAGGCUGAAACUCAAAGGAAUUGACGGGGGCCCGCACAAGCGGUGGAGCAUGUGGUUUACUUCGAAGCAACGCGAAG